rnacentral:snRNA from 1 species
AGAUGUGAGGAUAAUCUAACUGCAACAUCUUUCACCCCAUUGAUCACCAUGGUUGAUUAGGCUGAUCUGGCUGGCUAGGCAGGCGUCACCUCCUUCCGUCACCACUCCAUGUGCAUUCCUCCCGAAGCUGAGCAGUCUGCUGAAGACAACUUUCCAACAUAGAGGAUGAUCGUCCUUCCAUCAAGGGUAUAUCAGUAGCUGUGCUCCCCUGCUAGAAAACCUCCAAAUAAGAAAGUUAGGGCACAAAAAUGCUGUCUGAUCCUGCCCUUUCAUUUUACAACUCCUCUAAAUGCAAUUAGCU